AUUGAACGCUGGCGGCAGGCCUAACACAUGCAAGUCGAACGAGUGGCGGACGGGUGAGUAAUGUCUGGGAAACUGCCUGAUGGAGGGGGAUAACUACUGGAAACGGUAGCUAAUACCGCAUACCAUCAGAUGUGCCCAGAUGGGAUUAGCUUGUUGGUGGGGUAACGGCUCACCAAGGGGACGAUCCCUAGCUGGUCUGAGAGGAUGACACGCCAAACGGGGAACUGGAACAGGUCCAAACUCCUACGGGGGGCCAGAGUGGGGAAUAUUGCACAAUGGGCGCAAGCCUGAUGCAGCCAUGCCGCGUGUAUGAAGAAGGCCUUCGGGUUGUAAAGUACUUUCAGCGGGGAGGCGUUACCCGCAGAAGAAGCACCGGCUAACUCCGUGCCAGCCGCCGCGGUAAUUC
rnacentral:rRNA from 1 species